GAUGAAUAACGCAGCGAAAUGCGAUAAUUAAUGUGAAUUGCAGAAUUCCGUGAAUCAUCGAGUCUUUGAACGCACAUUGCGCCUCAUGGCAUUCCGUGAGGCAUGCCCAUCUCAGCGUUAGAAAAUAUUCUCAAAUUUUAGUUUUGUGCUAAAAUUUGGAUCAUGUCAAAGAAGCUAUUACUAUUAUUGUGAUCGCUCUUUGGAAAUUGAUAGGUCUUUGAGUUGCUACUCAUAGAACGUGAUGAAUCUUUCUUCGUUCUAUUGUAAUUCACUCUGGUAGUCCUAAAACUUGUAUGCCUGUGGCAUAUCUUGUAAUUUGACCUGAGAUUGGGUAGGGAUACCCGCUGAACUUAAGCAUAUCAAUAAGCGGAGGA
rnacentral:misc_RNA from 1 species